rnacentral:rRNA from 1 species
AAAAACAUGGCCUUUUGUAAAUAAUUUAAGGUUUAACCUGCUCAAUGAGUUUUAAAUGGCCGCAGUAUCCUAACUGUGCAAAGGUAGCAUAAUCAUUAGUUUUUUAAUUAGAAGCUGGAAUGAAAGGUUGAAUGAGAAAAUAACUGUCUCUAUAAAAAUUUUAUAGAAAUUUAUUUUUAAGUUAAAAAGCUUAAAUUUUAAUAAAAGACAAGAAGACCCUAUAGAGUUUAAUACUUGUGUUCAAUCUUUUUUUUUAGUAUUUUAAAAUUUAUUUUGCUAUAGUAUUUGGUUGGGGUGAUUAGAAAAUUAAAUAAACUUUUCUUUUAUAGAAACAUUUAUAUAUGAAAAAAUGAUCCUUUUUAAAGAUUAUAAGAUAAAAUUACCUUAGGGAUAACAGCGUAAUUUUUUUUGAGAGUUCUUAUCGAAAAAAAAGAUUGCGACCUCGAUGUUGGAUUAAAAUAAAUUUUUGGUGUAGAAGCUAAAUUUGAUUAGGUCUGUUCGACCUUUAAAAUUUUACUUGAUCUGAGUU